GAGUUUGAUCGUGGCUCAGGAUGAACGUUAGCGGCGUGCCUAACACAUGCAAGUCGAACGAACAGCCAGAAUCUUAGGAAUCUGGCGGGUUAGUGGCGCACGGGUGAGUAACACGUAGGUGACCUGCCCCGAAGUGGGGGGACGAACCACUGGAAACAGUGGCUAAUACCGCAUGUGCUUAGCCAUUCGGUUGGUUAAGUAAAGACUGAGGC
rnacentral:rRNA from 1 species